rnacentral:rRNA from 1 species
UACGGAGGAGGCAAGCGUUAUCCGGAAUUAUUGGGCGUAAAGCGUCCGCAGGUGGCACCUCAAGUCUGCUGUCAAAGACCGGGGCUUAACCCCAGAAAGGCAGUGGAAACUGAAGUGCUAGAGUGCAGUAGGGGUAGAGGGAAUUCCCGGUGUAGCGGCGAAAUGCGUAGAGAUCGGGAAGAACAUCGGUGGCGAAAGCGCUCUGCUGGACUGCAACUGACACUCAGGGACGAAAGCUAGGGGAGCGAAUGGG